UCGUAUGCUUUUCCAUUUUCCCAAAAGUGUUUGACCUUGUUUCGUUUCUUUUUGUUUUUCCCAUUCGCAUAGUGAUGAAAACAGACAGAUCGUUCUGGUGCAUAGAAAUCAUAACCGACCGUAAAGCCUCGUAUUCCAAUGCUCA
rnacentral:ribozyme from 14 species